rnacentral:lncRNA from 1 species
AAAUUUGAGUGUACAAAGAACAACGUAACGUUCACGUUUGGUAAACGAUGAUUCAUGAAUUUUUCUUUUAUUUUCUCUCGUUCACCUUAUCUUAUACACAUAUCCAUAUACGACAAGCAAAAGGGAGGGAUCGUGUGUGUGUAUUGCUCCUUGCUCGUCGAUGACCUAACCCGUCUUCAUAUCAUUUCAGUAAUAAACGAAAAACCCCACAAACGCACGCUUUUUUCUCUUUGUUGAACCGUUCGCCCCACUCAUCCGGGUUCGUAUCCCCUUCUCCGCCCUACCACCCAACACAAUUGGGUCCGAAUGCGACGACUGUAUUCGAGAAAAAGGCGUAAGCAUCAAGUCACCAAAAACACAAGAACGAACUUUGCUGUUUAGUAUCAUUACCGGUAACGUUCAGUCAAGUUUGCGUGUAGUGCGGCCCUGGUGAACGUAUAACGAUCGUCGUGUAUACAAGGGCAUCAUUAUUAAAAUUAGCAAGUUUCCAAAGGAGUGCCCCGCACACCAGGCCAUUGUCAAAAUACGCAGCGUGAAUGCGGCGACCUCACGAGAACUCACGGAGAAAGAGAAAAGCUAUAACAUAUGCUAUGCCGAGAGAAGGGUAUGUAACUACAACAACUAAGGUGUGCCGGUGUGUGUGUGGGGGCGCCCCUUCUCUUUCUUUCUUUUUUUUUAAACGUCUUCCGUGAAUGGACUGUGCCAUUCAUUCAUAGUCGAGGCUUCACGAGUGCGCGGAUCUGGUUUUACUUACGUCGAAAGAAGAAAGAAAAAAAAAACACGUAGUAGAAACCACAAAUGAUGGAAAAUGCAUCCGUGCAUGUGUGAUCUCUCCCGGUCGAAGAGGAAAAGAACAAGAGUUUUUGCUGUGAUUUGACGUGCAAAUAGUUUUUUGAAAAAUGCGGAUCACCAAGUCCAAAAUGUGGUGUAUCAUUGCGAUAUAAUUGGACGUUGGAUUAAAAUCACUACGAGUAAACUCAACGAUUCGAUGGCGGCACGUUAGCGGCUGGACGUGAAGCAUCCGACUGAUUAAUAAUCACCUCUUCCCAUCCGCCCGAGUCGCGCUGGAUGAAAGCGGAACGCUGAACAGGAGAGGAAGAAGAAGUCGAUGGAGCCGGAGCAUAUUCAACAACAGAUGCGGCAGUAAGCUUCACCCUCUUCACCACCACCGCCAAUCACUUCCUGCGGAUGAGCUAAAAGUCGCUCCGUUUCGGCCAGAAAAAAGCAAACUCACUGUCUGGGUCAGUGGGACCGCCGCGAGCGUCGACAGUUCCAUUGGGCAGGAGACGCAACAGAUCGCCGCCGGAACGGAGCGACGAGCAAGCCGUGCUCCAUCUGUAGACCCUCUGCAAUCCGGUGAUUUCGUUGGGCGGAUGAUCUUUAACGAUGAAGGCGGCGGGGUCGGUUCGGUCAGAAGCAGUUGCAUUUCCUUUUGCGGAAGAAAUCGGCCCCGCCUUUCUCCUGUGUCCGCUUUUAAUACUACCGCUACCACUGUUGCUACUAACGACGGAUGGCAGGUAUGAUGCUGGAUUUCCGGGCACUCGGCCGGCGUCCUCCCGCGGCCUGCUUGGUGCGCAAUUCGCCACCUGAAGGACAAAUACAUUUUUUGUUUUGUUUUGUUGUUUUUUUGUUGCUGGAAAAUUAAAAAAAUGAAAUAGAAGAACCUAACAGUAAAAGAAUAAAGAAAUAACGAUGCCAAGGUUCUUCGUUAUUAACACCAACUACGCAUGUCGCCUUUGCCUGUUUGCGUUGAGCCAUUUUUCUGGCGACUCAUUGUUUGAUCAUCUACGGCCACACAUGACCAGCAGUCGGUAUGCAAAUUCAUUCAUCACUCCCUUAGCGAGAGAACCAAUGGCCUCUGAACCCACUCCAAUACUUAUUCCUUUCCCAAUAUUGGAGAUUUUUAUCUUUUGGCUGGCUGCUAUCCUCUUCCUUUUUUUUUUUUUUCGACGUACAAAUAAAUCACUACAAGAGGAGUUUUGCUUUUUUUUUCCUUUCUUUCUCGCUGUACUCAAAAUCGAGUGUAAACUCUCUUCUGCUGAUAUACCCAACAACCCUUCUAAUCCAGCCGCAAACCAUCUAGCCGAGGAAAACAUCGUUUUGGCAUCUUUGACGUGCGCCUUCCAUGACAUCACGCCAUCGUAAUUUUCUCGCUCUUUCUUUUCGCAAAAACUAUGUUGAUGAUGCUUUUUGGCUGGCUGCUGCUAAACAUCUGGCACGGAUGAAGAGCGGCUUCGCUUUUUUCGGGCUUGUUGUGUUGAAUCAAACUGUCGAUUCGACGCAAUCUUGUUGCACAAACUUGCGCGCACUUGUGCCUAUGCGUCAGCCAAUGCAGGCAUCGCAGUUUUCCCGCAUAACAAAUUGCACACACACACACACACACACAACGAAUAUAAAUCGAAUUGAUUAUUUGAAAUAGUGACUCACCAUCAGGAAAAGUAAUAACGCUAGGACGGCGUUUCUCAGUAUCCUAAACAUCCAAAAAGAUAAAACAAAAACUUUAAAAACCGAUGCACAUCCGACCAAGAUCAAAGUGAGAAAGAGGAGCACAGAUUACGGGGGGUACACAGACAUUUCGGAUCGACUAUUACAUCUACGCAACCGUCUCUAGGUGGUUGGUCAUGGAAUUCACUUAUCAAGGGCCGGCUUCAUCUUUGGCUUAGCGUAAAUCUAUUUUAGGGAAAAGAUAAGGCAAAGGAAGCGUGAGCAGCGUGAAAAGAGAUAUCGAGCGCCCAGCUUUAGUGAAUUAAAAGGGGGGGGGAAACCCUAAAGCUUUGUCAGGAUACAAUCAUAAAUGAGCGAGAUGUCGUCAUCUAUAUUCUUGCCGAUUCCGUGUCUAACUUGGCGGAAUGACUCGUUAUAUUGCACCUGUUUCGAUCGGGGAUAAAAAAAUUUAAUAAAAAAGGGAAAAGAUUUCCCCCUAGUUUGUCGGGGGUAGGGAGCUUCAAUUCAUCGCUUGACUCACGCUGCAUGAUGUACAAUACGACGAGAAAUCAGACGUCCUUGCCACUGAUUGCGUAACGACUAGAACAUAGAUUACGGCAGACCUUGAAUGCAUUGCGGCAGUGGCAAAUAUCCGCAUAACUCGGGGGGGGAAACACAAAAUUCGCCUUUUAAAUGCGAACGUUUCAUUCAAAUCGGAUGGGGGAUCGCGUCAGCUCACCUGGAUAACGACAAGCGGAAGGGGAGGCGGAGGUGGCGCAACAUAAUCCGUCGGAUCGCAUGGCCGCAAUUCAACCUGGCGUGAAUGCACGAAACUAUCGACAAAGUUUCACCAGACGAUGCAUCGACGAGCCAAUAUCGGCCUGAUAAUGGGACAACAGGCAACACCAGUGGGUUACAGUUCAACUGGCCGACACCACAACGCACUAGGCCCUUAUCUGUUCGCUCUUGUUAUUGAAUGCCGAACGAAACUCGAAUAAUCGAAUAAACAAGAGAAGAAUCAAUAAAAAUAAUGGGGUCCGAGGCCGAUCUUAGUGGAAUCUCGAUCAAAACACGACUGAACGCUGCAGCACCGCACGACUCUAUGCGGCCAGUUAUCUAUCGCUGCCUUCCAUCCCGUCCUUUCCUUGUUGUCUGUUUUAUAAGAUUUUGUUUUGUUUUUCGCUCGAUUUUUUGCUUUUUUUUUUUCUUUCUUUCUCCGUCCUAAAGACGGCGACAACGAGGAGGAGGAAGAGUGCGGGCGCUAGCGUGAAUCACGCUAGCGCAUUUCAAACAAAAGCAAAAUGCGGUAGCGCACAGAUGACUCCGAGGGCUUACGGGGGCGCCAGUCGUCGUGGCUCCUAUACAAAACUACGAGGCGAUGACGCGCGUGUGUUAGCCAGUCUAACAACAUCGUGACGUAGAAGAGACGUUAAAAAAAAAAAAAGGCUGGUAAAGAUCCGGUUAAGGAGUCGACAGAGUUGGUGGUUCACCGCGCUGUUCCGCGAACCACACGCGAUAUGGGAAACAGUUGCGGGGAAAACGCACAAGAAAUUGGAAUCGAAGAAAAAGAGACGCACAAACGCAGCGGUGCUUCUUGAAUUCAUUACAUCGGACGCCUUCUCUCUCUCUCUUGUUGGCCAGACUUUCUUUCUUUAAGGAGAAAAAAAAAAAACUCUCUCUCUGUAUGAUUGAGCAAUCCACUUGAGCGAGUAGACUCAUAGAGACGAUGGUGGUGGCGGUCCCUUUUGACACGUAACUGCCAGAAAUUCCUCUUUUUUUUUUUGUUCUCCGUCCCUUUUUUUUUCUAAAGAGAAAAACAUACAUUGCACCCCAAAAUUUCCCUUUUCCCCUCAUCACUAUUCAGGAAUAACAACACACACACGCACACACAAGAGUAGAAAAAUCUGCGCGAGGUCGACGACGUUCAACAAAAGAACAUAAGAAAAGACCAUAAAUAAGAGGCAACAAACAAACAAGACACACACACACACACACAAAAAAUGACUAAAUAACCGAGAAAACAAUAGCCAACCCCCAGAAAAAAACAAAAGAAAAAACAAAAAAAUUAUCUAGCUAACCAUCGCUUCGUGGCGGUUCGAAGAAACGUUAAUAGCACACACGUUUGGCAGCUAGGCGAAAGAGUGUCGCUGUCGGCGAUCAAACGGUGAAUCCAAAACAAACAAAAGAAAACACGCGAAACGAUCGCGUUCCGUUUUGAGGUUCUUUUUUCUUUUGAUUUAGACGCGCUUUGUUAGGAUUUCUGGGUUUUUUAGCUUUUUUAUUAUUAUUUUUUUUUUUGCUUAGUGAGUUUAACAGUGUCAUUUGUUCGUGUCUCUACAUAUUUAAAGACCACUGGGCGCGGCGAGGCUAAGACACACGCAAAUAAAAAGAAAAGGCUCCGACAAAUCUUGUCGGAAUGGCUUGUCGUAAAGACGGCUCGCCGAUCGUGAAAAUCCGGUAGUCGGGACUGUGUGGAUUUUCUGGCGGGGAAGAAAAAAACCAAAAAAUAAGAAGGGGAGAGCGACACACGAGAGAGAGGGAAAAAAAUAUAUAAAAUAUAAAUACACGAAGGCUUCACAAAAAAAAUUUGAAUUCAAUGUCCAAAUGGUUGGCUCCGGACUCGACAGAAAAACAAAAAUGCUCUUGACUCUACAUGCGAUUAGGCGCGAUAGACGCCAGUUGCAACGUCUGUACCUCAUUUGAUCUGUGUGUGUGUGUUUGCUUUAUUAGUAGCGUUUAAGUGGAAAAGUCCUAUACAAAUAAAAACGAGAAAGAUCCAGUUCCCAGAUAUAAUCCCGCGUCUCUUUAACUAACGAAACCUCUGUACACAAAACUAACAAAAAUCGGUCUGUAAUUAUUCUUCAGCUUAAAUGACAUCCACACUCGUGACUACGUCCAGUAUAGAUCUAAAAUAUCACCGUGAUAAUGUUUAAAACGAUACAGUGAUGAUCUUUUUUUUUUUUUUAUCUGGAUAGCCUACACGUGUAAUAAAGAAUUAUAACAAGCCAAGUUUGCCGGACGGCGGUAUUAUUAUACUACGGCCAGCCAACUGAUGUGAUGGCGACAUUGGUUGAAAGUUGUAAUAAAAAUCCCGACCGAAUGCAAGAAAAAAAAAAAACUUGUAAAACAUUACCGUCUCUUUCAUAUUUCGUCGUCUCGGGUUAUUUAAACGAACGACGACCAAACUCAAAAGAUUACACGCGCAUACACGAGGGGGGAAAAAAAACAAAACAAAACAUUUCAAGGAAAAGAAAGAAAAAAAUAAAAAUAAAAUGUGAUUUAGCGUAGAGAUUGUUUCUCUUAUUGCUGCCCGGGACAUAUGAAACGGCAAACUGAUUAAAGAAAAAAGAAAAAUGCAAUAUAGUAAAAAGCAAACUAGCGCUCGCAAGGAAUUCCAAAAGGGCAAUUAAAAACUGGACUUGAGAUUUUGCUUUGGUGAUCCGAGUGCCUUUUCGUGCCGAUUUUUGUCCUUACCGCCAGCGCCUGCCGCUCGGCGUGACCUUUACCUGGCCAUGCGCUUGGCAUGCAAUCAAAAUAACGUCUAUUUUGGAGAGAUUAGGCGUGAGCGCGUGAAUUUUGGUCGCUUAUAAAACGGAGAGCAAAAAUAAAAUGCCGAAUCAAAGUGACGGACGUAUCAACAAGGUGAUGGCGUCCGGUUGGCGUUAAGGCGGCGAAUCUUUAAGACACUUCAUUACACACCCUGACACACGCACACGCACGGGGAUAUUUAUUCGGCAUUUUGUUUCAUUCCAGAGUUUCGAAUUUUUUUGUUUUUUUUUUCCUUCAAAAGAUAAGAGCGGAAAACUUUAAAGGGUUUUUGGCUUUCGUUCGAUUGUGAUUUCCACUGCGCAUUCAGAUGAGUUAACGAUUAGUCGACAAAAAUAUUAAUGAUGGAAUCCUAUCCAAAUAGUGAACAUUCUUGUCCUUAUUUGCCAGACGGACCAGCAGACGACAAACAAAACAGUGAGGAGGGGGAGCAACAAAAAACCGGUUGUCAUCAUCUAUCGGUAAUUCAUUGAAAAACGUCGACCCAUUUGUUGUUGUUCAACGAGACACACAUUAGAGACUAAAACCCUCCCUAUACCUCCAAAUGACAGUGUGUCUUUUUUUUUUUUUUUUUUUUAUGUGUGUCCAGCUUCAGAUAUACCGUAUUUAAGACCGAUACGGUUUACCUUGUGCGCAUGCGUAUGUGACAUAUCCCGUUUCGAAUUUCCUCCCCCUUCUGAAACAAACUUCUGGUUCAAACAUUUUAAACAUUUUUUUUUCGGGGUAGGUAAAAAAAAAAAGGGAAAACAAAGCAAGAGGAAUGACAUUGUAUUACCACCCAGGAAAGAAUAAAAAAACUUUUCUCUGUCCCCUCUCUGAAAAAAAAAAAAAAAAUAAAAUAAAUAAAGGAAAAACAUCACAAAGAAAAAAAAAAUAGAGAUAGAAGAGAUGGGUCGUUCAUUAAACACCCCCCCCCCUAAAAAAAAAGAAGCCAUCAGCAAAACUCCGUCCGUUAAGCAAGAGACAGGUAUACAGCGAAGACGAUCCCUGUGGCUCGUUUAUUAUGUCACUAAAAAUGUGUUCGUUUGCAGCAUGCUUCUCCCUUGUCAAUAUAUCUACACACUCUUUAACUAUAGUCUGGUAUAUACGUCUACCAUAUACAGAUGUAGACGAGAGAGAGAGAGAGAAAAGGCGCUUUUGCCUGUGAGAAACUGAAAACAUUUUCAAAUGCCGCUGUGCUCUACGGGCCUGUGGAGAGGUAAAAGAAAAACGCGGAGAGGGGGGACGACAUAGAGGUCGUUUACACACACGCACACACACACACACAACAACAACAGAGUUGUGUACAGUCUCUCUCCGAAGAGACAGAUAAUACUGGGCCAAACUUGUGUAUACAUUUCGUAGCGCUUUAAAUAGAAAUUUAUAGAUUUUUAUUAUUUGUGACCAGUUCAUUGUCGAAAAAGGACCCCAAGUUGGGCAAGUUCAUCAGUCGAAUUGGUUCCGUUUAAAAAUGUUUCUUUCUUAUGGGGGG